AGGAUUUGGCAUUGGGGCGAAAGCCUGAUCAGCCUGCCGCGUGUGUGAAGAAGGUCUUCGGAUUGUAAAGCACUUUAAGUUGGGAGGAAGGGCAGUAAAUUAAUACUUUGCUGUUUUGACGUUACCGACAGAAUAAGCACCGGCUAACUCUGUGCCAGCAGCCGCGGUAAUACAGAGGGUGCAAGCGUUAAUCGGAAUUACUGGGCGUAAAGCGCGCGUAGGUGGUUUGUUAAGUUGAAUGUGAAAUCCCCGGGCUCAACCUGGGAACUGCAUCCAAAACUGGCAAGCUAGAGUAUGGUAGAGGGUAGUGGAAUUUCCUGUGUAGCGGUGAAAUGCGUAGAUAUAGGAAGGAACACCAGUGGCGAAGGCGACUACCUGGACUGAUACUGACACUGAGGUGCGAAAGCGU
rnacentral:rRNA from 1 species